rnacentral:rRNA from 1 species
GUGUCAGCAGCCGCGGUAAUACGUAGGGGGCGAGCGUUGUCCGGAUUUACUGGGCGUAAAGGGCGCGUAGGCGGUUCCGAGAGUCGGCUGUGAAAUCUCUGGGCUCAACCCAGAGGGGUCGGCCGAGACCUUGGGGCUAGAGUGUGGUAGAGGAAGGUGGAAUUCCGGGUGUAGUGGUGAAAUGCGUAGAGAUCCGGAGGAACACCAGUGGCGAAGGCGGCCUUCUGGGCCACAACUGACGCUGAGGCGCGAAAGCGUGGGGAGCGAACCGAAUUAGAUACCCGCGUAGUCC